GUCAACUACCCCCCUCUUAUAGAAGAGGAGGCUUGUAGGAAUAAUCCUACGAAGUCUUAGUUGUCUAGCCUAAGUGUUCACUCACUACGUUGGAUUGCAUGUAGAAACCCAAAAAUGAUACCCAAGUUUUUGGCUCUUUCGUGGCUCUGUAAAAGUUCUAAGGGCAAGGAACAGUCAACCACAUUGUGAAGGCUUUCCAACAUUGGCGAAGGGUAAAUAAC
rfam:Clostridium magnum DSM 2767 CLMAG_contig000013, whole genome shotgun sequence.